ACGCGCCGCAGGUCAGGACUAGGCUGGAGCCGAGCCGCGGGGCUCGCGGAGGCGGCGGCGGCGGCGGCGGCUACUGCUGGGGGAGCCUGGCCAGGGCCCGCGGCGGAGGCCGUGGCUAGUACUGGGAAGGUGGCGGGGAGGGACGCGGGAGGAAGAUGGCGACGUCGGGGGCGAACGGGCCCGGCUCUGCCACGGCCUCGGCUUCCAAUCCGCGCAAGUUUAGUGAGAAGAUCGCGUUGCAGAAGCAGCGUCAGGCCGAGGAGACGGCGGCCUUCGAGGAGGUGAUGAUGGACAUCGGCUCCACCCGGGUGAGGGGCCGCGCCGGGGAGCGGGAGCGAAGCGGAGCAGUUACGGAGCGGAGAGGCGGGGCAGGGGCGGGAGCCGCAGCCCUGGAGGCGGAACAGGGUUGAGGCGACGGCGGCGGGCGCCGCCGUCUGGGAGGCUCGGGUUGAGGGCCGAGGGGACUGGAAGACGAAUUUUGCUCGGGAGAUGGAAAUACAGGAGAGGUGGGGGAUGUGGGUGCGACUGGGGGCCGAGUACGUGAGUCGGAGAUGGGCCGAGAGGGAAGAUGGGCCCCCGAAGGCCAGGGGAGGUGGGGAGUCCUUGUGCGUGCCGGGAGGAGUCCCCUUGGGGACUCCACUGAAGCAUCCCAGAUCUUGGGUUAUGGAUUUUAGGAUGGACUGCUUGUCCCUAAUUUGGUUCUUCUGAGGUUGUGCUCUCUAGACUGGUCUCUGCCCUGUUGUGCCGCUCUCAGCACUUUGGUAUCUACGGGAAAGGGCCCCUUGAGUGGUUUGAACGAGCAGUGUUGGGUAUAGUGGGGCAGGAAGUCCCCUCCUGCGUCCCGUCCCUUUGCUUCCUUUUUCAAGUACUUCUUGUGGUUUCCUGACGUGAGUGAAGGUGAGGUCCACUGCUCACAGGCUGGUGCUCCAUCUUUUGCCUUGGCCGCCUUGAAGGAAAAGUAGAGUUUUGAAUCCCAAAACUGGGUAACUGAUUUUUUUCUUUUUAGGUUGCAUAGAACCCGAUGAUUUGCUGGACUUUCUAGGGAGAUGCUGCCCUGUGGGUCAGUUUCUGGAGUGCCUCGGAGGGUCCCCCAUGAGGAGGGUAUAUUCAUUCCUAGGAAAUUCUUAGAAUUUUCAGGUCUCUGACAAGCUGCCUCUGAAGCCCCUCUGGCCUUGGUUUCUUGCUGCCCAAGGCUGGAUGUCCAAGGGCCACUGUCAAAAGAGUUUGCCCAGCUGGUAUGCAGUGCUAAUUUAGGGACACAUUAUUCUCAAAUAAUAGGUGAGAGGAUUUUGCUGUGAUCCCUCAUGGCAAAGAACUGGAAGAAAUUUAAAGGGAGAUGGUGGACAUAAGUGUCGCAUUUCAACGCUCCUUGUGAUUGCAUCUAUCAAUGAUUAUGUCUCUUGAUUAUAUUUUUGUGUGCCUCUUCCUUGAUUCUGUUAGUCUCUUUUGUGUUUUUCCCCUCUGAGUCUCUAGGGACCAUGUGCCCUAGAUUAUGAGAGCCAAAACAGAAAAAGAUAGGUGGGGAGGCAAGUGUGUGUGUGUGUGUGUGUGUGUGUGUUUGUGUACACAUACACAGGCAUAUGCUUGCAUAACCCACUCUAACUACUAUGAGGAUUAUGCUCUAACGCUUGACUGCUCUCUAGGAACUUUUGAUCAUAGCGGUACAGAGAGAAGAUGGGAGAGGGGCUCAUCCUCAGCUGAGAGCUCUGCCCUCUGGACCAGGAUUCUAGCAGAGGCAUGGUGUGAUCUUAGGGCUUGUAUGUGCAAACAAGGCUGUGAGAAACUCAAAGCUGGGAUUCCUAUUUGUGGUGCUUUGGUUCAUCAAAAGGACCUUCUACCUGCCUUUUCUCUCCUGAUUCUUUUCUGCUAUGUAAAAAAGUCUAGUGGACAUUCAUGGCCAGGGCCUGGGGACCUAAAAAUCUUGAACUAGCAAUGAGAGAUCUGGGGCUCAGCUUGUUACCUGGCCAGUUGGGAGGGCUCAUUUGAAUCAGAUAUGGCCAUAUUUGUUCUACUGAGAGGCUAGGGUUGCCAUAUUUAUUAACAGUGAUUUUGAAGGACCCAGAGGUAAGCACAGUGCCCACCAAACUCAGUGGGUUGAGCUCCUAGAACAGGAAUUCAGGUUUGAUGUACGCUUACAUGGCAACAGUGUGAUCCUGGAAGCUCUUGGAAUUUACCAUCCUCAGCUGUUCUCCUCCCCAUGGCCUUGCUCUGGGUCUCUUUGUCUGGUGGUAGUGACUGAGGACACAAAUCUGCAGGCAGGCUAAAUCCAUGUCAAGCUGAGGGAUAUGGUGUAUCACUUCUGUCCCAGACUUAUUUCUCUGAAAUAGGGGUAAGGGCCAGGGAGGUGGCUCUGGCCCAGGCUGGAGUGGGCUCCUGAGCCCCCUCCUACCUCCAUUCACUAGGCUUCCCUGCCAAUUAAGGGGCCUUAGGAUCCAGUGGAAGUAUUCUGCUUUUCUAGUGGGCAAAGCCAUUAUUUCCUGGAUCUUCUAAUUUGGGAGGUACAGGCUGUGAUUUGGCUGGGCAAGUGGCAUAGCCUAGUAGCCUGCGUUCUCUUUGAGUGUGAAGGAAAAAGGAUGGCAAUAAUGGAUCUAUGACAUCCACCUGUGACCUUGCCCUUCUAAUUAGUCCUGGGUAUAUCUGGAAAUGAAACCAGAAGUGCCUAAUAGGCACCCAUCUCUGUGACUAGUCCCUAGUAACCCCUAGGGACUCUGCUUAGACUGAUGCUGACCGAGCUAGGCAGCGGCGAUCUCACUGAUGAGGGUAGGCUACAGAAGGGCUGGGGGGUUGUUUGCACUAGGUCUCUGUGGGCCUUUCUCCUAGCACUGGCUUUUCUUUUUUUUUUUUCCUUUUUCCCUAGCAGAUACCUUAAAAGCUGCAGCAGCAUAUCCUGGUGACAGGGAUGGCAAGGAUGGCCAAAGGGAACAGUGCUCAGGACUCUCCCUGACAUUCCCAUUUGUCCUUCAUGUCUCAGUUACAGGCCCAAAAACUGCGACUGGCAUACACAAGAAGCUCCCAUUAUGGUGGUUCUCUGCCCAAUGUUAACCAGAUUGGCUGUGGCCUGGCCGAGUUCCAGGUGAGUGGACAUCAGCCAGGGAGGAGUGGAGGUUCCUCUGCUUCCUCUGCUGAUUACCUGUCCCUUUUGGCAGAGCCCCCUCCACUCACCUUUGGAUUCAUCUCGGAAUACUCGGCACCAUGGGCUGGUGGAACGGGUGCAGCGCGACCCCCGAAGAAUGGUGUCCCCACUCCGCCGAUAUCCCCGCCACAUAUCCUUAAUAGAGGACAGGGAGUCUGGGAGGUAGUGGGAAGGGGUUCUUCAGGGAGGCAUGGUAGGAAGGACUUACUUUCGCAGUACUGAGGGUUCCCUGCCACUCAGCUACACCCCAGCCCUUUUUAUUUUUUGAGAUAGGGUCUUACAAAGUCACUCGUGCUUACCUGGAACUUGUGAUCCUCCUGCCUCAGCCUUCUGAGUUGUGGGGUUACAGGCACGAGCCAUCACGUCCAUAGGAAGAGAUGUUAAAUGUUGCCUUGUUCCGUCCUUUUCCAGGAGCUUACCUUUACCCUGACUCAAUGAAAAGUGACCACAGUCAAUGUGUCAGGAGUUGCUGCUCCUCUCUGGCUGGUCUCAGCUGUCCUCACUUUGGCUCAGUCUGCUGCACAAGUAGUGGGCUCCCUAUGCUCUGACUAAGGAAGGCUUGAUCCCUUCGUUUCUGUUGUUUCAUUUCAGUCUCAGAGACCCAUAUACUCAUCUCCCCUAAGUCCUGCUCAGACAGUCUCCUAGAUUGUUCUCGCUCCAUUAUGCCUGAUACUUUUUUUUUUUUUAAACACAGUACUGAGGAUUGAACCCAGGGCCUUGCCAAUGCCAGGCAGGGACUCUGCUGCUGAGCUACAUACCCAGCUCCAAGCUCUGUUCUUUUUUUAAUUUCUUUCCAGUACGGGGGAUUAAACUCAGGGCCUUGUGCAUGCUAAGCAAGCACUUUACCAUUGAGCCACAUCCCCAGUCUCUUUUCAUUCUUUGACCCCAUUGUUGCCACUUGAAGAGAAAGAGAAAGAGAAAGGUUAUAUGUGUUUUGAAAUAGCUAUCUAGCCAGGCAUAGUGGCACACACCUGUAAUCCCAGCAGCUUGGGAGGCUGAAGCAGGAGGGUCGCAAGUUCAAAGCCAGCCUCAGCAACUUAGCAAGGCUCUAAGCAACUCAGUGAGACCCUAUCUCAAAAUAAAAAGGGUUGGGGGCCUGGGAUUGUGGCUCAGUGGUAGUGCACUUGCCUAGCACGCGUGAGGCACUGGGUCCCAUCCUCAGCACCACAUACAAAAAUAAAGUUAUUAAAAAACAACAAAAGGGCUGGGGAUGUGGCUCAGUGGUAAAGUGCUCUCGUACCAAAAAGAAAGAAAUAACUAUCUACUGUCUCCAUUGGUCGACUUUUUUGAGACAGGGUCUUGCUAAAGUUGCUGAGGCUAUUCUCAUACUUGGAGAUCUCCUGCUGCUCUGUUUACUCACUCUCCAUCUUCUUCCUUAACUGUUGCUGUUCACAUUGACAGUUCUCCCUACAGUCCCGCCUACUUAUCUCCUCCUCCAGAGAACAGCUGGCGAAGGUGAGUCCAGGUCAGGCAGUCCGCUGCCCACUCUGUCACUUUCUGAAGGAGCUGGGGCUUGGUUGGGAUACUGGACUAGGGUUUCAUCAGUACCUCCUCCUAUAUUGGCUUAGCUGGGAGGGUGGGGGCAGCAGGAGUAGGUGAUCAGAGUCCAGUCUUGGCGUGUUGACAUGUGUAGCCAAAGCAGGACCAAUAGAACUGGAGCCAAGCUGGGUGUGUGUGAGAGUGUGUGUGUGUGUGUGUGUGUGUGUGUAUGGGGGAGGGGAGAAAGGCAGGGUUACAGGUGAAAAUGGCUGCCUUCUGUCAAGGGUGGGUGCCAGAUACAGUGCAGGGAAACUAUUAGAUCUCUGAACCCCUCCACUCUCCAUCUUAGCCCUAGCACUCACGUCCAAAAGAGGCUCUGAGCUCCAAAUUUCCUGUUCAGCUUGUCCUGGCAGAGAGGAGUGGAGAAGUUUCCAGAUCUCUUAGAUUGACUGGGGGAGGGGAUUCAUGGGUCACAGGCAUCAGAAGAACCAGAAAGAGCAAAGAAUUAUUCUGGUGCCCGUCCUCUCUUUCCAUCGGGGCUGCCUCACAUUCCCAGCCCCCAUGUCUGCUUUCUUGUCACUGCCAGCAUUCUUCCUCCUCCUCACUCUGUUUUUCUACCCCAGGAUGAUGCCCUGGAGCAAUUUCCCUGCAGAGAAGGGGCAGUUGUUUCGACUACCGUCUGCACUCAACAGGUGAUGGCCCUUGCCUUAUUUAGGCCGUAUCUUCUUUAAUCUGCACUUUCUGGGGCCCUGUUGCUUCACCCCACACUGUUGUAGCCCAUCUAAUGUCUCCCCUGCUGGGCGGGGCUGGGCCACUGGGAAAAUCAUUACCGCUGCCAUUGCUGCUGCUGCUGUUUUUUUCCUUAAUUUAAUUUUAUUUAUCUUUAUGUGGUUCUGAGGAUGGAACCCAGGGCCUCCCACGUGCUAGGCGAGCGUUCUACCGCUGAGCCACAACCCCAGCCCCCUGCCAGUGCUUCUUUACUCCCCAAACAGGACAAGCUCUGACUCGGCCCUUCACACAAGUGUGAUGAACCCCAACCCCCAGGACACUUAUCCAGGACCCACACCUCCUAGUGUCCUACAAGGCCGUCGUGGGGGUAAGUGGCCAAAUCCCAGGGUAGGGAGUAGCUGUGAGCUUUUGAUAGAAUCAGAUUGGUAAGUGAGGGCUGCUGCCAACUCCGCUGCAUCCCUUGCAGGUUUUCUGGAUGGUGAAAUAGACUCCAAAGGUAUGUGUUCUUCAACACAUUGUGGAGACCAAAUGCCAAUAGAAUUUCUGGGCUGACAUUGGAGACUUCAUGCAGGGUUAGGACACAGGACUCCCUCUGCCUGUCUCUGCUUCCUGUGUGCCUUCCUGGCUCCUUCUCCAGCCUCCCCAUCACCUGUCUUUCUCUUUCAAGUCCCUGCUAUUGAAGAGAACUUGCUAGAUGACAAACAUUUGCUGAAACCAUGGGAUGCUAAGAAGGUAGGUGUGGGCCACUGGAUGUCACCCACCCUUCCCUUCCCAUGGGCAGGCUUCUAGAGUUCCCUCCUGAGCUCUGUCCUCAUUUUCCACAUUCUUCCUUAGCUGUCCUCAUCCUCCUCGCGACCUCGGUCCUGUGAAGUUCCUGGAAUUAAGUAAGUUCCUUUAUAAGGCUGGCUGAGAAUAGGAGUGAGGGAGGGAAGUCCAGGGCCGUGUGGAAGAUGGAUCUGUGCUCUUCCCUGACUCCCUCCCCUCCAUUUACACCUUUCUUUCUUUUUCUCUCCCUCCCCUAGCAUCUUUCCAUCUCCUGACCAGCCUGCCAAUGUGCCUGUCCUCCCAGCUGCCAUGAACACUGGGGGCUCCUUACCUGACCUCACCAACCUGCACUUUCCUCCACCGCUGCCCACCUCCCUGGACCCUGAAGAGACAGCCUAUCCCAGCCUGAGUGGGGGCAAUAGUACCUCCAAUUUGACCCACACCAUGACUCACCUGGGCAUCAGUGGAGGUCUGGGCCUGGGCCCGGGCUAUGAUGCACCAGGUGAGUGGCUUUCCUGGCUGUGUAUGUGCCCACCAGAUGCUGCCUGACUAGAGGGAUGGAGGGUCGGGAGGUUUGAGCUGGAUCCUAUAAUGCCCACCAGUCCAGCAACCCGGCACCCCCGGAUCCCUGUACUGCAAUUCUCAGCCUAUGAGAACUGGUAGGUGUGACUUUCCUACAAAGAAGAUGGAGAACCACCCCCAGGUGGGCUGUGCCAAUCUCACUGGCAGGAACAGAAUAGGAAGGACAUUGUGUUGCCACUUUCAUAGUCCAGUCACUGCAACCCAUUCGGGGUGGAAAGGAGCCUGGUUCUCAUCAGUAAUGUUGUCAUCUCUGGUUUUUUGUCUGUGCCUGCAGGACUUCAUUCACCUCUCAGCCACCCAUCCCUGCAGUCCUCCCUAAGCAAUCCCAACCUCCAGGCUUCCCUGAGCAGUCCUCAGCCCCAGCUCCAGGGUUCCCACAGUCACCCCUCACUGCCUGCCUCCUCGUUGACCCGCCAUGCACUGCCCACCACCUCCCUGGGCCACCCAUCACUCAGUGCCCCGGCCCUCUCCUCCUCCUCUUCCUCUUCCUCCACUUCCUCACCCAUCCUGGGCACUCCCCCUUACCCAGCUUCUACCCCUGGGGCCUCCCCCCGUCACCGCCGUGUCCCCCUCAGCCCCCUGAGUUUGCCCGCGGGCCCAGCCGACGCCAGAAGGUCCCAACAGCAGCUGCCCAAACAGUUUUCGCCAACAAUGUCACCCACCUUGUCUUCCAUCACUCAGGUAUGCGUGGCUGCUUCCCCACACGUCUGUCUCCCUUCCUCUUCUCUUCUCCUGCAGAGUUUCUCCCUCCAGCCCUCCUUUCCUCAGAUACCUCCUCCCCUUACUUUCUGCACCCUUUGUCUCAUCCAUCCCCUGCUACCCCUGUGUGUCCUCCACCUGCCAC
rnacentral:lncRNA from 1 species